CUGGUUGAUCCUGCCAGUAGUCAUAUGCUUGUCUCAAAGAUUAAGCCAUGCAUGUCUAAGUACAUACUUUUGCACGGUGAAACCGCGAAUGGCUCAUUAAAUCAGUUAUGGUUUCUUAAAUCGUUUCUUUUACAUGGAUAACUGUGGUAACUCUAGAGCUAAUACAUGCAAAAAGCUCCGACCGUAUGGGAAGAGCGCUUUUAUUAAACCAAAACCAAUGGGGUCGCAAGAUCCCUUUGUUUGGUGACUCUGGAUAACUUUGUGCUGAUCACAUGGCCUAGAGCCGGCGACGUAUCUUUCAAGUGUCUGCCCUAUCAACUUUCCAUGGUAAGCGAUUUGCCUACCAUGGUUGUAACGGGUAACGGGGAAUCAGGGUUCGAUUCCGGAGAGGGAGCAUGAGAAAUGGCUACCACAUCUACGGAAGGCAGCAGGCGCGCAAAUUACCCACUCCUACAACGGGGAGGUAGUGACGAAAAAUAACAAUACCGGACUCUAAGAGGCUCGGUAAUUGAAAUGAGUACAGUUUAAAACCCUUAACGAGGAUCUAUUGGAGGGCAAGUCUGGU
rnacentral:rRNA from 1 species